UCUAAGCUUUGUGGUGACUGGUGAGUGGUGGCGACUGGCAUGUGUCGUCUGUGGUGGCGUGGGUGGCACAGAUUAAUAGAUACCACCAUAGAAUACAAUGUGAUGGAUACCACUUCAUACCACGUAAUCAUCCAUAAUACACUGUAAUCUUUGGUAUCAUCUGUGAUAUGUGAUGUGAUGUGAUACGUAGUGGUACGUGGGUAGCGUGGCGUGAUGUGAUGGAUUUGUGGUCUGUGAUGGUGACUGUACGUAGUAUCUUAAUCUGUGGUGAUGACUGGUCUGGCUCUGGUGUCAAAAAUAGAAAAUCAUCAAAAAAAAAAGGCGUGGCGCUGGCGUCAUGGCGUGGCGUGGUUUUAAAUUUCUUAUUUCGUCUCUCUCUCUCGUCUCGUGGUCUCUACAAACUCAAAGGGUAUGGUUUGAUAAUUCAUAUAAAAUAUGGUGAAUUUCGAUGCAUAUAUUAAACAGCCGUUUUAUUCGAAAUGUAAAUAAAUUCAGAAAUAUUGCAUGAAAUACGUGGUUAAGGUUAUAGCUGAAUUACAUACAGGUCUAAUAGUAAGUAAAUAUAUUCUAAAUAAUUUAACAACUUUUUGUAUAAUCCGUAACAGCCUAUUUAUCGGCCCAAUAAAUAGAGAACCAGGUCUCCUUGUAUAUAAGAGAGGAUAUGAAGCUUAAACCCACCACGCUGCUCAAAUGCGGGUUGGUGGGCUCAAAGUGAUAAUGUUAAAUUUAUUUAUUAAUGUCCAUUAUUAGAUGUUUAUAUAGACGACCUCUUGUUUUCAUUCCAAUGGCAUAAUGUAUUGUACUCAGUGUCCUUAGACUUAUUACUCUCAGCUCACUGAUCGUGUUAAAACUUUUGUGCAUCGUUUUUACACAAGGUUUGCGCGAUUGCGAAAUACUGCAUUAUUUUGAUUUAGACUACUUCCAUCUAACAUAUGAUGACAGUGAAACAUUAUACUUCAUAAUGACGCAGAAGUUAGUUUUUGAUUCUAAUUCUUUGAACUCCCACAGGGCCUCUACCUUGUUCUCAUCUCAGUAGCCCAGGUCUCAUCAACGCAAAUUCUUGGUAUCACGUUGGAACGGAAGGAAGAGCAGAGAUUGUCACUUAUUAUAUCACUUAUUAAGGCCAAGUUUCAACCUAGGUACUGUGGUUGAAAAGAUUACCAUAGAACAUAAAGCAAUGAUGAACAUGAACAAUGCAACAUCUGAAGUUUAUGUGGACAGCAUUAGUGGUCAUAACAUACAAUUCAUAGUGGUCAGCUCCUAACUUUGUUAGCAUUUACACUGAUAAAGAGGAACAGAUAGCAGCAAAAGAAUUUGUAAUGAGAUGUUGCAACAGUAGUCAAUAAGAUAUAUGAAGAUAACUUAAGUAUCAGUGUACCUAAUUAAACAGGAAUACUCUGCAAUGAACAUAAAGUUAUAAGAGUGGCAUGGCGUGCCAUGGAGUCCUGUGGAGGGCAUCACUUAUAGCCUCAUCCAGUACGCAGUGGCCUCACUGGGUGAGGCUAUAUGUGAAGCUCUUCAGUGGAAAGCAGCAGCUCCCUACACUUCAGUUGGAGAACAAGUGACCUGAACUGUUCCAUGCAAAAUGAAACAAAGGUGUCCCUAAACCAAAGUGUACAUCCAAAGGUAACACCUUUAGAUGUACAAUUAGUUUUGGGGACAUAAAUUAUGCAAGAAAUAUUUAUAAUGAAAAUGAGUAUGCAUCUCCCGGUGAGUCUUGACAUUUAUCACAUUUACUUUGUAGAUGGAUAGAAAUAUUAUGAAUGUGUUUGGCUGAAGGCUGGCAAUUAUUGUACAUCAUAUAGAGGUAUCAGUGUAUCUAAACAGGAAUACGCCGCAUUUAACAUAAAGUCGGAAGAGUGGCAUGGCGAGUGGAGUGGAGGGCAUCACUUAUAGCCGCAUCCAGUGGCCUCACUGGGUAGCUUUUCAUUGGAAUGCAUCAUCAACUUUCUACACUUCACUUGCAGAACACGUGACCGGAACUGUUCCAUGAAGAGUGAAACAAAGGUGUCCUUAAACCAAAGUGUACAUGUAAGGUCCACACCUUUAGAUGUGCAAUUAGUUUUGGGGACAUAAUUGCGCAAGAAAAUGUUUAUAAUGAAAAGGAGCAUGCAUCUCCCGGUGAGUCUGACAUAUUUUAUCGUACUUUGUAGAUGGAUAGAAAUGAUUUUCAAUUUAACCAACUUGGUUCUUUUCGUAAAACUUACCUUAUACUAAACGUUUUGGUUUCGGCUGAAACAAACUGAAAUUUCGGUCGGACAGUAGGUAUCAAUUUGUAAUGUGAUAAAAUAAUGGCAAUCUAUACUUAAUUUAAGUAUAGAUUGCCAUUAUUUUAAUGGUACACCGAUGUACUUAAUAAUCCUGCUGAUCCAGGCAGGUACACCAAUUUAUUUUAAUCAAAAUAAUCAAAUCAAAAUAAAAAGUGAUUAUUAAGUAAUUCAAAAGUGUUUUAUUUAUCAGACCUCUUGUGAAAAAUUUAUAGUUAAUAGUAAAUAGUUACCCACGGCUAGGUUGGUUCUAGGCGAUUCAGAUAUCGCAGUGGACAAGGGGUGCUAUCCCUGGGCAAAGAGGACUGGCGUAAGCCUUAUGUAAAUUUGUACCUAAGUAACUCAGAUCGUGUCGCGAUCGCGAUAUGGAAAAGUAAGUUGCUAAAAUUUUGCAGGACUAUCAUGGUCCAAUGUAGGCCAAUUAAUAUAAUAGGGUAUCUAAUGUAUCCUGAAUGCAAUUUGGUAACCAUAGAGGUUACCAAAUUGAGAGGUCGAGAACGAGAAACUGAGGGUUCUCACCUAGCUAACCAGGUGGACUGACGACAUCAAGCGAGUCGCAGGGAUUCGCUAGAUGCAGCCGGCUCAAGAUCCUGAUGUUGGGAAGUCCCUACAAAAGGCCCAUGUACUGCAGUGGACGUCCAUCGGCUGAUAUAAUGAUAAUAACGGCGACUUGCACAGACGAUCGACGAGAGAUCAAGUAGCCCAGGAUCAUCCAAACAGCUUGCUCUUCAGUUUGGCAUAUUGAGAUGCCCUAAUAUAGGUAAGACUCAAGAGACCUGCGCUUGUUCCUGAAAAUAGCAGUUCAUUUAAUUGCUCUACUGGUAUGGAAUCUAAAGAUGCUUCAAAACAAUGUAAAGUUGUUCCAUCGUCGUAAUACAUAUGCUACCUCUGUCAACUUGUCCCAAAACCACAUGCUAUCUCUCCAUUUUUUGUCCUGAUUUACGUACUAGUUUAUAGUACACUUAGUUAAAAUCAAACAAAAUACUUUUUAUACGAUUUUAUUUUGAAAAGUAGGUAAGUAUGCACAUGUUACGAUACGCACACAAACGAGACAUGAUUUUACACAAGGUAAUAAAAAGUUAAAGACUAAGCACAACUAGUCUAGUUCAACCAUUUUGACAAUUGAAAAUAUUUUUUUUUUUU